AUUCAGAUGAUGAGUCCCAAAUAGGACGAAACGCGCGUCCUGGAU
rnacentral:hammerhead_ribozyme from 1 species